rnacentral:lncRNA from 1 species
GGUUGAAAGCAGCUCAGACUUGCACAAUACAGAGAGUCCUUGCCGCAGAAAACUCCAAGUGCGUUUUCGUUUUCAAAUGAUGAAUUACACACAGGAUUACACAACGAUAGUCGCAGACUUCCAAUCAGAUGGCCUCCAUUCCCUCUGCGUUUGCCUCCAAGAUCAUGCGCGGGACAUUCUGAGAAACCAUGCCCAGAGACAAAAAGGAAGCUUGGCGUUGUGAAAAAGCCGGCUUUUAAUGAGUUGAUGUGAAAAGCUGCACGCACAUUAGAAUGCUGGCAAGGAUAUGGAGAAAGAGGAACACUCCUCCAUUGUUAGUGGGAUUGCAAGCUUGUACAACCACUCUGGAAAUCAGUGAAGCAGUUCCUCAGAAAACUGGACAUAGUACUACCGGAGUAUCCCACAAUACCUCUCCUGGGCAUAUAUCCAGAAGAUGUUCCAACCGGUAAGAAGGACACAUGCUCCACUAUGUUCAUAGCAGCCUUAUUUAUAAUAGGCAGAAGCUGGAAAGAACCCAGUUGUUCCUCAACAGGGAAGUGGAUACAGAAAAUGUGGUACAUUUAGACAAUGGAGUACUACUCAGCUAUUAAAAA